GAUGAAGAACGUAGCGAAAUGCGAUAAGUAGUGUGAAUUGCAGAAUUUAGUGAAUCAUCGAAUCUUUGAACGCACAUUGCGCCCUUUGGUAUUCCUUAGGGCAUGACUGUUCGAGCGUCAUCUACACCCUCAAGCACAGCUUGGUGAUGGGCGCCUGUCCCGCCCCCCACGGGGGCGCGGACUCGCCUCAAAUGCAUUGGCGGCCGGCGACCUGGCUUCGAGCGCAGCAGAAACGCGUACUCGGGGACCGGGCGCCCGCUCCCAGAAGCCAACCCACCCAGUUUGACCUCGGAUCAGGUAGGGAUACCCGCUGAACUUAAGCAUAUCAAUAAGCGGAGGA
rnacentral:misc_RNA from 1 species